rnacentral:rRNA from 1 species
GAUGAACGCUGGCGGUAUGCUUAACACAUGCAAGUCGAACGGACUCUUCGGAGUUAGUGGCGGACGGGUGAGUAACGCGUGAGAAUCUGGCUUUGGGUUCGGGACAACCACUGGAAACGGUGGCUAAUACCGGAUGUGCCGAGAGGUAAAAGAGAAAUUGCCUGAAGAUGAGCUCGCGUCUGAUUAGCUAGUUGGUGAGGUAAAGGCUCACCAAGGCAGCGAUCAGUAGCUGGUCUGAGAGGAUGACCAGCCACACUGGGACUGAGACACGGCCCAGACUCCUACGGGAGGCAGCAGUGGGGAAUUUUCCGCAAUGGGCGAAAGCCUGACGGAGCAAUACCGCGUGAGGGAAGAAGGCUCUUGGGUUGUAAACCUCUUUUCUUAGGGAAGAACGAAAUGACGGUACCUAAGGAAUCAGCAUCGGCUAACUCCGUG